CCAAAGAGGCGAUAGGAGGAUAAACUAUAUGUAGUGACCAACAAGCAGAAUAAGCAUGUAAGAUACUUUGGUGAAUGGUGAUAUACACCUAGACAACCAUUCAUAAAGGACAAUGAAAGCGACUGGAUGAAAGGGAAAAGCUAGUAAGAUAGCAAAGUCAUAGGCUUCCAAAAGAAUGUAGACAAGUGAUAAGCUAGUAAGAUAGCAAAGUCAUAGACUACAUACUUUCAGACAAACUUAAAAAAAUCGUAAGAGGUUUCUUUACCUUUAGAGUCAAAUGAAGAGAAGUUAAUCUUUUACUCAUCCAGGUUAUAGCCCGAGAAUUUUCUUCAAUAUGCUGAAAUUUUGUCAUCCUACACCCCGAGAUUUCACAUUCUGUCAUACAACAAGAGAAAUAGAGAAGGUGUAAAAAUGUAAGGCUAUUAUUUACCCGCUUCUUUUUUCUUCAGUGUUCUUCCAAUUGAGCAAGUUGUUGUGUAUAUUAUCUCUCCUGUUUGGCUAUCAUUGUCUUCUCCUUUUCCCUACAUGUUAAUUUACAAGAAGGAACGUCUCAUUAACAGUAGUCUCAUUAGGGGAUUGUUGGCUUACCUAGCUUCUCAUAUCGCAUAUAGACCUCUCCAUGU